ncrna:unclassified sequences DTF3800-VIII RNA
GAUGUCCUCUUCACUCGAAGGCUUGCGUUUAUACGCAGGGUAUUCAUGUAGGGUGUUGGGGAUAUC